AGCACAAUGGUCUUAUUUCUUUCAAAUUAUGUUACUAUAAAACAUACAAGACAUUAUACGUGUAGCCAACAGUACAGUAUACUCCAAAAAUACCUAUAUUUUAUUUUGUACCGAAUGUGAAAUGAACAUUUUUCUCCUCGAGGAAAAUAUUAUACAUACUAAAAUUGCUAAGGUCUAGCUCAUGUACCUGGCCUCCAAAAACCUUUCUUACCAACAAGAAACUGAUCUUGGUGUAAUUUACUGUCCAUGAGGGAUUUCAGAAUGGGGGCGAUCUUGUUAAGCAUUUCCACUGUGUCUUGAACUAACAGGUAUCCGUCGGGUCUCAAUAUACGAUCCAUCUCUGCAGCUACUUCAAUUACAUCGCACCUGCAAAGCACGAAGCAGCUUGAAUUCUAUAUUACUUAUUGAGUUUGGGACAUACUGUGGAAGUGAUAUCAUGAUAUGAACAGCAGUGAAGAAUGUAGAGAAAGUGUAGCUUUGGUGGUACCGUACCUCUUACUCAAAUUUUGCAAAGAGGAAACUCGAGUGCAGAAGAUCAUAUGUUCGAGGGUAUGUAUUGAAUGAUUCACACCAGUCAUGAUAAACACCAAUCAGCCCUCGAUCAUAAAUGACCGGUAGAGUAUCUGAUUCGUGAAUGGGUACGACAUUCAUUACCCAUAUUGGUAGAUUAACAAGUGCAGCAGACAAACCUGUAAACAGAAUGAAAAACAAACUGAAGUUUUCAACUUAAACACACCAAAAAGAAUGAGGGGAUUUUUGGGCAAAGGUAAUAUCUCACCCUCCAUGGCGUGCGUUCAUAUCCAUAACAUUUCUCAAAUUCGACCAAUUUAUACUGAGACCUCCAAGAUAAACCUCUGAGACAAGUGCAGACCAGUGAGUGGUGUCUGCUCUAUAGCUUUCUUCAGCAUCUGGCUCAGAGAGGCUUUGAGGUUUAUCUUUGAGNAUAAAAACCUGAUAGUUUGAGGGUUUAGAGAACAUUUCAGAAGUUUCAGGGUAUUUUUGAUAAAGUGUGUAUAGUUCAAAGGUUUUCAUGAUAUUUACCCAAGAAAAAAAAGUAAAUUAUGCAUUAUUUUUUGAGUGGAUUUUGAAAAUAACUUAUUUCUUUUAGUAAAAUUAAAAAUUACCCACAAAAAUAAAAACUUAAAAUAAUACCCACACUUAUCAUUUUACCCUUCACACACUAUCCUUUAAAAAAUUUCCGUAUUUCACAACCCAAUGAAAUUCACAAUCAGAAUUUUUUGGUUGUGAAUUCACAACCAAAAUUUAUUUUGGUUAAAUUUUGGUUGUGAAUUCAAGUAGUUGUGAAUUUGAGUUUUAAAGUUUGAAUUCACAACUAAAAAUAUUAGUUGUGAAUUCACAACUAGCAAUGGAGUUGGUUGUGAAUUCGAGAUUUAAAACUCGAAUUCACAGCUAACACUAGCAAUUCAGCCGUGAAUUCAUCAAACUGGUUAUGAAUUCUCGAAUUUACAACCAAAACAACUAAUUGUGAAUUCAAGCUUUAAAUCUCAAAUUCACAACCGGAAUUUAUUUUGGUUGUGAAUUUAAGUAGUCGUGAAUUUGAAUUUUAAAGUUUGAAUUCGCAACCAAAACAACUAAUUGUGAAUUUUAAAGUUUUAAUUCACAAAACAACUAGUUUGAAUUUAUUAGGGUGCAUUUAGUUUGAUGAAACAUGAGAGAAAAAAAAAAUAUUUUUUCACUCAUUUUCUACCAUUUUCACAUAUUUAUUACUCCAUUCAUCCACGAAAUGAGUACCCAUAUUUCCUUUUUCGUCUGUCCACGAAAUGAGUACCCAUUUCCCCUUUUGGCAAGUGUACCCCACACAACACUUUGAUUAAUACACUCAAAAAGGUAGGACCUCUAUUCUAUUCACACUACGCUCAAUACAUUUCUUAAAACCCGUGUCGUCCACAAAUGGGUACUCAUUUCGUGUACGGAGGGAGUAUAAUGAAAAACUUUCUUUGGAUAUGGUGGAAUGUCUUCUCGAACAACUCCUUUUGGUAAAGAUGUGAAAAUAUUAUCCAAUAUUUUUUCAUUUUUUCAUCUCUAAUAAACAUAUAAUAAAAUAAAGAAGAAAAAAAUAUAUUUUCUUAUUUUUUUUUAUCCAUCAUUUUCCAAUGAAAAUUUUACAACCAAAAUAAGCAUACCUUAAUACUCCCUCCGUCCCAAUAAUGAAGACACACUUCAUUUGGGCACGGAGAUUAAGAAGAUGUAGUUUAGGUGAAAAAGUAUUGUGGCCCACAUCAUUAGUGUAGUUGAUUAACUUUUGUUUAUUGAAUUUAUUUACUUUUAUUUUACAUUUUAUAUUGAUUUUUUAAUUUUAAAAAUUCAGAUUUUCUACCACCACCACCGCCGACCACCACUCUUUGAUCCAGCGAGCCAUCGCCACUGUCCCCGUCAACCCCUUUCCCUUCGCCCCUGCUCCCUCCGAUCUGAGAUCCCCAAAUCAGAAAAAGUCUGCAAAUUUGGAACCUCCAAUUCAUACCCCAAAUCAGAAAUAAUCCCCAAAAUCAAGGUCUUCAUAGGCAUGAAACAAAAAUAAAUCUGCAAAUUUGAAACCCAAAAGGCAUUACUGAAGAAGAAUUUUGAUUUCAAUUCUCAUGGGCAGAAAGAGCGAGUGAGGUGAAGGUGAUGGUGGUUGUAAUAACGGUGACGCCGGCCACGGAUGGUGGCAGAGGAGGGGAGGCGGUGGCAGAAUUGGAGCGAGGAGAUGGGCGGCGGCCAUGGAGGAUUCUGAAACCAAGGCGGAGGGUUCCAGAGAUGGUGUUGAAAGGGGGGAGAAGAUGGGGGACGGGUUUUCCAGAAUAGGGUUAGAUUUAGGUUGGAGAUUCCAGAUGGAGGGCGGUGGCUACGAUUCUAGAGGGUGGUGAUCGUGGCGAGGGGUGUUCGGCGAUUCUAGAAGGGCGACGGCGAGGGGUGUUUGGCGAUUCCAGAAGGGCAGUAGUCGUCGCGAGGGGUGUUCGGUGAUUCCAGAAGGGCAGCGGCGAGGGGUGUUCGACGAAUCCAGAAGGGCGGCGGCGAGGGGUGUUCGGCGGUGGUUGUGGCUCGGCGGCGGCGACUCCGCCGAGAAGGGGGAGGAGAUGGGAGAACAUUAGAGAGAGAGAGAUGGGGCUGAAAUGAGGGAGGCGCACAAAUUGUUUCCUUCAAUUAGGGUUUUUAUUAUGUAUUUAUAUGAUGAUUAAGGUUGAGUUAAUUAGAAGUUGUUAAGCCCUAAUUAUUUCCAUAUUUAGAAGUGUGUCUUUAUUAUUGGGACAACACAUUAAGGAAAGUGUGUCUUCAUUAUUGGGACGGAGGGAGUAGAAGAGAUAUCCUACCAAUCUCAUCUUAUGAUAAAAUUAGUGGAAAUAAAACAUGUUUACAUUUCCCUUUGUUUUCAUAAAUUUUGUUUCCACUUUAACAAAAAAACAAAAAUACAUCAACUUUGUUUCGUUUAAUUAUUUUCAUAAAAUUUAUUUUUUUUCAAAUUGUGCUAACAGUCUUAAUUAUUUUUUGAGUUCUUCACGUGUAAAAACAUGAACUUUUAUCAUUUUUUUAGUUAUACCCACAAAUUUCAUGUUUUUCUAAUUUUCCCACAAAAGUUAUUUUUUCACACGAAAUAUGAGGGAAAUAAAUAUUGUGGAAAAAAAAUGAAUUUCACAUAAAAAAUCACAAGAAUACUAAGUUCACAAGAAAAACUAGAAAAUGUUGAAAAUGUGUGUACUUAUAAGCCAAUCACCUAAAUUAAAAUUGGCAUGUAAACAAUAAUAUGCCAUACAAAAGCCAAAUCAAUUAUAAUUCGAUCGGAAUUGCUCGUCGUGGGAAAAAUCAGACGAGCACAAAAUUCAUGUUAUUAAUUAAAAAAAUCAUGAGAAAAACCAAUUUUUUUUAAAAUUCCUGUAUUACAUGCAAAUAACCCAAAAUAAAACAUGAGCACAAUGGUCUUAUUUCUUUCAAAUUAUGUUACUAUAAAACAUACAAGACAUUAUACGUGUAGCCAACAGUACAGUAUACUCCAAAAAUACCUAUAUUUUAUUUUGUACCGAAUGUGAAAUGAACAUUUUUCUCCUCGAGGAAAAUAUUAUACAUACUAAAAUUGCUAAGGUCUAGCUCAUGUACCUGGCCUCCAAAAAC
rnacentral:lncRNA from 1 species